AUUGAACGCUGGCGGCGUGCUUAACACAUGCAAGUCGAGCGGAGCGGCGAACGGGUGAGUAACGCGUGAGUAACUGCCCCCCUCUCUGGGCUAACAGUUGGAAACGGCUGCUAAUACCGGCUAGUGGGGGAUGACUCGCGUCCUAUCAGCUUGUUGGUGGGGUAGUGGCCUACCACGGCGACGACGGGUAGCCGGCCUGAGCGGGCGACCGGCCACAUUGGGCUGAGAUACGGACCAAACUCCUACGGGAGGCAGCAGUGGGGAAUAUUGCACAAUGGGGGAAACCCUGAGGCAGCAACGCCGGGGGCGGGAUGACGGCCGGCGGGUUGUAAACCGCUUUCAGCCAUGACGCGGUAGUGGCAGAAGAAGCACCGGAUAACUACGUGCCAGACGCCGCGGUAAUAC
rnacentral:rRNA from 1 species